AAUAGAUACCCGGGUAGUCCAUGCCGUAAACGUUGGGCACUAGGUGUGGGGCUCAUUCCACGAGUUCCGUGCCGCAGCUAACGCAUUAAGUGCCCCGCCUGGGGAGUACGGCCGCAAGGCUAAAACUCAAAGGAAUUGACGGGGGCCCGCACAAGCGGCGGAGCAUGCGGAUUAAUUCGAUGCAACGCGAAGAACCUUACCAAGGCUUGACAUAUACCGAAAACUCGUAGAGAUACGGGGUCCGCAAGGGCGGUAUACAGGUGGUGCAUGGUUGUCGUCAGCUCGUGUCGUGAGAUGUUGGGUUAAGUCCCGCAACGAGCGCAACCCUCGUCCUAUGUUGCCAGCGGGUAAUGCCGGGGACUCAUAGGAGACUGCCGGGGUCAACUCGGAGGAAGGUGGGGAUGAGGUCAAAUCAUCAUGCCCCUUAUGUCUUGGGCUUCACGCAUGCUACAAUGGCCGGUACAAAGGGCUGCGAUACCGCAAGGGUGGAGCGAAAUCUCAAAAAGCCGGUCUCAGUUCGGAUUGGGGUCUGCAACUCGACCCU
rnacentral:rRNA from 1 species